rnacentral:rRNA from 1 species
UACGUAGGAUCCAAGCGUUGUCCAGAUUUACUGGGUGUAAAGGGUGCGCAGGCGGACUUGUUAGUCAGGGGUGAAAUCUCACAGCUUAACUGUGAAACUGCCUUUGAUACUGCAAGUCUUGAAGUGGGGAGAGAGUUGUGGAAAUCCGAGUGUAGCAGUGAAAUGUGUAGAUAUUCGGAAGAACACCAGUGGCGAAGGCAGCAACUUGGCCCCAGAUUGACGCUCAGGCACGAAAGCAUGGGGAUCAAACAGG